CCAGCAGGGGUGUAUUUAGCUCAAGGCAAACUAGGCAUUUGCCUUGGGCGGCACUAUUUAUGGGGCAGCAAAGAAUGCCACCCCCAAACGCCCUCUGAGGCGUCCCGUGUGAUUCUCCAGUCAUGGGUGGGGGGACAAGGGCUGGCCAGCUAAUAGAGACCCCCUCUCCACCCCCUCUGGCGGGCAGCUUAACAUCCCUUGUGCGCCGGUUACUGAUGCCGUGGGAAACAGAAUAUGAUGUCAUAUUCCGGCUCCCAGCAUCAGUAGACAGACUGCGAGGGAGCAGUGCAGAGCAGAGAGAUCACAGCUCUCUCGUCACCUCAGAUGGGAAGCCGCCCGCCGCACUGACCCCAGGGGCGGAUCUACGCCAGCUCUCCAGGUAGAGAGGCUGGGUGGGAAAUUUUUGAUUACAUUAUUAAGUUGUGUGUGUGUCUGUAUGUCUGAGUGUCUGUUAGUGCAUGUGCAUGUCUGUUAAUGCAUGUGUGUUUGUGUGUCAAAUCAGUGAGAGUCUCUGAUUGUGUGACUAUCAAUGUGUCUGAAAAUGAGUGUCAGUGUGCGUGUGUGUCUGUCAAGGAAUGUGUGUGUCAGUGAAUGUGUGUGUGUCAAAUCAGUGAGUCUGUUUGUCAUUGAGUAUAUGUGUGUGACUGUAAGUGUGUAUCUGCCAAUAAAUGUGUGUCAAAUCAGUGUGUCUGACUGUCAGUGACAUCUGUGUGUAUUUCAUUGUGUAUCUGCCAAUGUGUGUCUGUCAGUGAAUGUAUGUGUCAAAGUGUGUGCUUAAAGGGACACUAUAGGAGCCUAGACCACUUCAGCUCAGUGAAGUGGUCU